UUGAUUCUGGCUCAGGACGAACGCUGGCGGCGUGCUUAACACAUGCAAGUCGAACGGACCUUAUUUGGAAGAAGCUUUCGGGUAGACACUGAAUAAGGUUAGUGGCGGACGGGUGAGUAACGCGUAGAUAAUCUACCUUAAAGACUGGGACAACAGUUGGAAACGACUGCUAAUACCGGAUAAGCUGUACGGAUGGCAUCAUCUGUACAGGAAAAGAGGCCUCUUAACAAUGCUCCUGCUUUUAGAUGAGUCUGCGUCUGAUUAGCUAGUUGGUGGGGUAACGGCUUACCAAGGCGACGAUCAGUAGUCGGCCUGAGAGGGUGGCCGGCCACAUUGGGACUGAGACACGGCCCAAACUCCUACGGGAGGCAGCAGUGGGGAAUCUUCCGCAAUGGGCGAAAGCCUGACGGAGCAACGCCGCGUGAUCGAAUGAAGGCCUUCGGGUUGUAAAGAUCUGUUGAUGGGGACGAAUAAGCCAUGCGAAUAGUUUGGUGUAUGACGGUACCUAUUUAGAAAGCUCCGGCUAACUACGUGCCAGCAGCCGCGGUAAUACGUAGGGAGCAAGCGUUGUCCGGAAUUACUGGGCGUAAAGGGCGCGUAGGUGGGUGCUUAAGUCAGGUGUGAAAACUCUGGGCUCAACCUGGAGACUGCACUUGAAACUGGGUAUCUUGAGGGCAGGAGAGGAAAGUGGAAUUCCUAGUGUAGCGGUGAAAUGCGUAGAUAUUAGGAGGAACACCAGUGGCGAAGGCGACUUUCUGGACUGUACCUGACGCUGAGGCGCGAAAGCGUGGGUAGCGAACGGGAUUAGAUACCCCGGUAGUCCACGCCGUAAACGAUGAAUACUAGGUGUAGGAGGUAUCGACUCCUUCUGUGCCGCAGCAAACGCAAUAAGUAUUCCGCCUGGGGACUACGGUCGCAAGACUAAAACUCAAAGGAAUUGACGGGGACCCGCACAAGCGGUGGAGCAUGUGGUUUAAUUCGACGCAACGCGAAGAACCUUACCAGGGCUUGACAUCCCUCGCAAGACGUGGAAACACGUUGUUCUCUAGUUUACUAGAGACGAGGAGACAGGUGGUGCAUGGUUGUCGUCAGCUCGUGUCGUGAGAUGUUGGGUUAAGUCCCGCAACGAGCGCAACCCCUACGUCCAGUUGCCAGCACGUUAAGGUGGGAACUCUGGAGGAACUGCCGGUGACAAACCGGAGGAAGGUGGGGAUGACGUCAAAUCAUCAUGCCCUUUAUGUUCUGGGCUACACACGUGCUACAAUGGCCGGUACAGAGGGCGGCGAAGCCGCGAGGUGGAGCGAAUCCCAAAAAGCCGGUCUAAGUUCGGAUUGCAGGCUGCAACCCGCCUGCAUGAAGUCGGAAUCGCUAGUAAUCGCGAGUCAGCAUAUCGCGGUGAAUACGUUCCCGGGUCUUGUACACACCGCCCGUCACACCAUGGGAGUUGGCAACACCCGAAGUCGAUGAGCUAACCGCAAGGAGGCAGUCGCCUAAGGUGGGGUUGAUAACUGGGGUGAAGUCGUAAAAAGGUAGCC
rnacentral:rRNA from 1 species